UAGCCGCUAUCGCAGAGUGGAGCGGGGCUGGGAGCAAAGCGCUGAGGGAGCUCGGUACGCCGCCGCCUCGCACCCGCAGCCUCGCGCCCGCCGCCGCCCGUCCCCAGGAACCAUGGAGUCUGGCAGUACCGCCGCCAGUGAGGAGGCACGCAGCCUUCGAGAAUGUGAGCUCUACGUCCAGAAGCAUAACAUUCAAGCGCUGCUCAAAGAUUCUAUUGUGCAGUUGUGCACUGCUCGACCUGAGAGACCCAU
rnacentral:lncRNA from 1 species